rfam:Felis catus isolate Cinnamon breed Abyssinian chromosome F2, whole genome shotgun sequence.
GCCUGGGUGGCUUGGUCGGUUAAGCGUCUGACUUCGGCUCAGGUCAUGAUCUCACUGGCCGUGAGUUCGAGCCCCGCGUCGGGCU